rnacentral:rRNA from 1 species
UACAGAGGGUGCAAGCGUUGUUCGGAAUUAUUGGGCGUAAAGCGCGCGUAGGCGGCUUUGCAAGUCGGGUGUGAAAUCCCCAGGCUUAACCUGGGAACUGCAUUCGAGACUGCAUUGCUAGAGUAUGGGAGAGGGAAGUGGAAUUUCCGGUGUAGCGGUGAAAUGCGUAGAUAUCGGAAGGAACAUCAGUGGCGAAGGCGACUUCCUGGACCAAUACUGACGCUCAGGUGCGAAAGCGUGGGGAGCAAACAGG